rnacentral:rRNA from 1 species
UACGGGGGGGGCAAGCGUUGUUCGGAAUUACUGGGCGUAAAGGGCUCGUAGGCGGCCAACUAAGUCGGACGUGAAAUCCCUCGGCUUAACCGGGGAACUGCGUCUGAUACUGGAUGGCUUGAAUCCGGGAGAGGAAUGCGGAAUUCCAGGUGUAGCGGUGAAAUGCGUAGAUAUCUGGAGGAACACCGGUGGCGAAGGCGGCAUUCUGGACCGGCAUUGACGCUGAUGCGCGAAAGCCAGGGGAGCAAACGGG